rnacentral:tRNA from 1 species
AGUUAAUGAACUUGAUAUAAGUUUAUAUUUUGAAAAUAUAAUAAAGAGAUUUAAAUUCUCUAUUAACUU